CCCACCGCUUCCUUCAAUGUUGUGCAACCACCCACCGCCUCUUUCAAUGCCAUUCAACCACCCACCGCCUCCAUCAAUGCCAUUCAACCACCCACCCACCUUCUCCAUUAAAUGCCUCCCCUUCCUCCAUCGCCUCCCUCAUUUAAAUGGGCAAAAUCCAUCCCCCCAUCAACCCACCGCCUCCUUCACUCCACUGAAACCCUAGGUCGUGGAGCAACUCCUCCUUCCACGAUUUGAUUUCAGCCACCAUCAACCUCAUAUAUCACCGACCGAAAACUCUAAUUUUGUCGCCCUUUCGCCUCCGUCCAAUAUUCACACAGAAACCCUAAUUUUGUGGGAUGGCUGGAGAUCCCGACUCCUGGCCUUGUUUGUCGUCCGACGAUCUGGACGACCUCGCCGUUCCAGACACGCCAGAGCAUCUAUGGCCGUCAUACCCCCCAUCGUCACCCCCUAUCAUGUCGGAACCUUUACCGACACCGUUGUCUUUGAAACGAAACCUGAAAACCUCCCCCCAUCUGAGAUGUUUGAGUACUUUGGCUCUGAAAGCCCAUACUACAGUCCACCACCACCAUCAGCCACCCUACUACGGUCCACCACCACCAUCCAACUCUGUCAACUUACCUCAAACUUCCCCCCAUCGUGUAUUCGGCUGCCGAGAGGGAAAUAUUUGUGAUCUUGCUGCCUGGGAUUUUGGAUCUAAUCUAAGUACUCCACUCUGAAUUUGGAGUUUUGCUUCUGCCCAUAUUCUCUGGGUUGUCUUCCUGCAUGCUCCAAACUCUGUUGCUGCCUUUUGAAUAGCUCCAUAUGGCACUUCUCAUGCCUGGCUCGAUUGCAGCAGACUUUGAGCUAGCAGAUUUUUUGUGGUGCUUGGUAUUAUGCGUGAGUCUCUUCCAGCAGGCUCCUCCUCCAUAGCCCAGUGAUGAAAUUUUUCUGAGGGCACUAGUUCUAAAAAUCUCAUGUUGUAGUUAGAGCUAGUCCUUUUAUAGAUAGGUUUAGCUUAAAUUUCCCUCCAUUGUUGUGUGUAUGAAAUGGGGUUCCCUCCAUUAGUUCAAUUGAUUUCCCUCCUACGUGUAGUAGGUAGUUGGGGAAUUCCCUCUCAAAAUGUAUGGCUUAGGGUGAUAGCCCCUAAAUUUGAAAAUGCAGAGGCAGUUUUUAUGUUGUGUACUCA